UACGGGGGGGGCAAGCGUUGUUCGGAAUUACUGGGCGUAAAGGGCUCGUAGGCGGCCAACUAAGUCGGAUGUGAAAUCCCCAGGCUUAGCUUGGGAACUGCAUCCGAUACUGGAUGGCUUGAAUCCGGGAGAGGGAUGCAGAAUUCCAGGUGUAGCGGUGAAAUGCGUAGAUAUCUGGAGGAACACCGGUGGCGAAGGCGGUUCUCUGGGCCUUACCUGACACUGAGGAGCGAAAGCGUGGGGAGCGAACAGG
rnacentral:rRNA from 1 species